AAAGGGAGACCUAAUUCAGGUAGGAGACGAAAAAAAAGUAGUCGCUACCAAGAAUCAAUCCCAAAAGGUCGGAGCGAGGCGAAAUUGGCUUUCAAACUAGGUUCUGGGUUCACACAAGACCUGAAUCAGGAACAAGGGCUAUUAGCUCAGGUGGUUAGAGCGCACCCCUGAUAAGGGUGAGGUCCCUGGUUCGAGUCCAGGAUGGCCCACCUGCACAGGUGGUAAAAACAAAGAAAAGAAGCGAGGAAUCAGCACCUUAUCUUACUUAUAUAGUAAGAGAGAAUGCUGGCUCUGAGUAAAGAGUCCAGAGGAACCUUGAAAACUGCAUAGAGCUAGGUGAAAAAGCCAAAAAAGAAGACCGCAAG
rnacentral:tRNA from 1 species